rnacentral:rRNA from 1 species
ACGUACACUCCUACGGGAGGCAGCAGUGGGGAAUAUUGGACAAUGGGCGCAAGCCUGAUCCAGCCAUGCCGCGUGAGUGAUGAAGGCCCUAGGGUUGUAAAGCUCUUUCACCGGAGAAGAUAAUGACGGUAUCCGGAGAAGAAGCCCCGGCUAACUUCGUGCCAGCAGCCGCGGUAAUACGAAGGGGGCUAGCGUUGUUCGGAAUUACUGGGCGUAAAGCGCACGUAGGCGGAUCGAUCAGUCAGGGGUGAAAUCCCAGGGCUCAACCCUGGAACUGCCUUUGAUACUGUCGAUCUGGAGUAUGGAAGAGGUGAGAGGAAUUCCGAGUGUAGAGGUGAAAUUCGUAGAUAUUCGGAGGAACACCAGUGGCGAAGGCGGCUCACUGGUCCAUUACUGACGCUGAGGUGCGAAAGCGUGGGGAGCAAACAGGAUUAGAAACCCCUGUAGUCCC